GGUGGGAUGGCCGAGAGGCGAGGCUCAGGACUGCAAAUCCUGCUACACGGGUUCAAAUCCCGUUCCCACCUCGA
rnacentral:tRNA from 1 species